UACGAAGGGGGCUAGCGUUGUUCGGAAUUACUGGGCGUAAAGCGCGCGCAGGCGGUCCUUCAAGUCAGGGGUGAAAGCCCAGGGCUCAACCCUGGAAUGGCCUUUGAGACUAGAGGACUUGGGUACGGGAGAGGUGAGUGGAAUUCCGAGUGUAGAGGUGAAAUUCGUAGAGAUCGGCAGGAACACCCAGGGGGAAACCAGUCGACUGGGCAUCAACUGACGCUGAGGUGCGAGAGCGUGGGGAGCGAACCGG
rnacentral:rRNA from 1 species